GCACCUUAGAGACCAACAAAGUUUGUUCUUGGUAUAAGCUUUCGUGUGCAUGCUUAUACCACUUGUGCAUGCACACGAAAACUUAUACCAAGAACAAUCUUUGUGGGUCUCUAAGGUGC